rnacentral:rRNA from 1 species
CGGAACGUGCCCAGUAGCGGGGGAUAACUACGCGAAAGCGUAGCUAAUACCGCAUACGCCCUAAGGGGGAAAGCGGGGGAUCGCAAGACCUUGCACUACUGGAGCGGCCGAUAUCGGAUUAGCUAGUUGGUGAGGUAAUGGCUCACCAAGGCGACGAUCCGUAGCUGGCUUGAGAGGACGACCAGCCACACUGGGACUGAGACACGGCCCAGACUCCUACGGGAGGCAGCAGUGGGGAAUUUUGGACAAUGGGGGAAACCCUGAUCCAGCCAUCCCGCGUGUGCGAUGAAGGCCUUCGGGUUGUAAAGCACUUUUGGCAGGAAAGAAACGGCGCGUGCUAAUACCAUGCGCAACUGACGGUACCUGCAGAAUAAGCACCGGCUAACUACGUGCCAGCAGCCGCGGUAAUACGUAGGGUGCAAGCGUUAAUCGGAAUUACUGGGCGUAAAGCGUGCGCAGGCGGUUCGGAAAGAAAGAUGUGAAAUCCCAGGGCUCAACCUUGGAACUGCAUUUUUAACUACCGGACUAGAGUAUGUCAGAGGGAGGUGGAAUUCCACGU